UCCUGUCCAUUGUAGAGUAACGGAAAAGUCUCAGGAGAGGAGGCUUUUGUGAAGAUCAUGACAUAGUCUACAUCAAAGCUGCCAGAUACAGUUUCUGUGAUUGUAAGUUUUCACCCUAGUAGAAUAACACUUCGAUUCACUCUCGCAGAUGUGUGGAGAACUUGAAGGAGCAGUGUGGUUGAUGUCAGACCCUCUGGCCUGUGAGUGACUAAAAGUCCCUGUGUAGAUCAUGGUUCAUACUCUGCUAUUCGAACAGUCAUGGUGAAUUUUCAUGACUCUGAAAGUCUGAUAACCUCUGACAUCAAAAGAAGUCUCAGAAAGUUUCUAUUAACUGACAGUUUCUGAAAACUUAAAGGAAAAUAUCUCCAAUGUUUGGACUUUUUUGAUGAAGAUACAGUAAACUGAAUUCAGAUUAAAGCAUUGCUGAAACAUGACAAAACUUCUGGGGUCCACAGAAAUAGAAUAGUGAGUAUACAUGGUUUGCAUGUCUGAAGAUAAGGACUUGAUGGUACAUUUAUGAAAGUUGUCAAAGCCAACCUCUAGAGAGUGAGUUGGCAAGGAAAUUAAUUUCAGUAUAUAGAUUGACUAGCUAUAGGCAUGGUGACAGUGCUGGUUUGUAAUUCAAUUCAGAUUUCAAGAUAAACAAAGGCCAGUAUCUUAAUCCUAAAAACCCAAGUAAGAGGAAACCCCAUAUAAUUCUAUUCAGAUCCUUAACUGAUUGGAUGAGGAUCAGCUAUAGUAGGGAAAGAAACUUGCUUUACUAAGAUUUAAACAUCAAUCACAUUCAAAAUACUUUUAUUAAAAUCCCCAGAAUAACUGGACAGUCUACUUUCCAUUUAUGUUAACACAUAAAUUAAGCAUUAGACUUUUUCAGUCUUCUAGUCUAAACUUGCACACAGAUACACAACACAUCUACAGUUUACAUUCCCUUUUUAUGACAGUUAUAUACAGUUCAUACUUUCUUCUUUAUUUGUGGUAUAUGCAAUUCAUAUUUGUGAGAAACCCUAAUAAAAGUUUCUCUCAUACUUUCUUCUUUAUUUGUGGUAUAUGCAAUUCAUAUUUGUGAGAAACCCUAAUAAAAGUUUCUCUCAAUUUCAUUUUGAUGAGAUUGGGAUAUCUACAAUAUGUGCUACUAUAUUACUUUUAGCAUCCCAUAGAUAUCACCUAGGUGUGUACUUAGGAAUAGAAUUGUUGAGUGGUAGGAUGAACUAGUCAGUAUGGGAACCUCUUCUGUGUACAGAAGGCCAAAGAAGCUUCCAUAUUGGAAGAUUAAUGGGACCAUAAGUGAGUCUAAUGUUUUAUGCUUCAUAGUAUUUUAUCAAAGAAAAUAUGUAUAUAUGCAUAAUCACAAGGAGUAUAUAACAAAAGUUUUCAUCUCUCUUAACUAUCAACUCCUUUCUAUCAUCAUGGGAUUCUAGGAACAGUGAUCUAACAUACUCAUUUGGAAGCUACUAGGCAGUAUUCUUGUGUGUUUAUGCAAGAAUACUACUGACAUAAGGCUCGUCUUCUUUGCUGAUUGCUAUGUUUUAGUUGUGACUUAUCUCCUGAAAGGUUCCCAUGUUGGAGGAUUGGCCCCCAGUUAGGUGAUGUAAGAGAUGAGAGAUACUUAAGUUGGGUACAUUAGUAGUGUUCUUUGAGUCCAGAUCAGAGAAACGAUUAGGGGAUCUAACACAGAGAUUCCAAUUUGUGUGGUGCCAUGAUUGAUUCCUCAUGUAUAUGUCUAUACCAUAAUGACAACUCUGUGUAGCUAUCAUUGAAAGGCAUGUCAAUGUGUGCAAGGGUUGAUUUUUGCUUACAGUUAGAAAAAAAUCCUUUCUGGAGGCAAAGGGAUAGAACUCUACAGAGAAAGAAUGGUGACAGGAGUGGGAGCGUGGCUGACCACAUUGCACCAACAAUGAUGAAUCAAGUAAUGCUCGAUGCUAUACUCAAUCUACUCUCUCAUUUUAAUUCAGCUCAGUAGCGCUAACCAUGAAAUGGCACUGCCUAAACUUAUGAUAGUUGUUUCUGCCUCUGUUAAGCUAUUAUAGAUAAUUCAUCACAGGUAAUUCCUCACAGACAUAUCCAGAAACUUAUCCCUUCAGUAAUUCUAUACCAUAUCAAAGUUGACAACAUUAUCUAGUCACUAAAUUUUGAGAAGCUAAGGGUCAAGCAAGAUAACAAGAUCAAAAGUUUAGCGAAUCAUGGAGGAGAGUGAAAUGGGCCCCUUAGGUAAAUCAUCAAUAUUUACAGAAAAUGAAUUUUCUUGAAACAUGCACAAUAAAAAUAAAGUAUAUAGCUGGUCCAUUAGUGUAGUUAACUUUUAAUUUUUAUUUCUGUGACAUCAGUUUAAUUUUCUUUGGUUUAUCAGAUAUCAAAACAGGAGAAGACAAAUAAGUGUUAUUUCAAAUGCUAUUUCCAACAAUACAGUAUCAUUUUAUUUUAAUCAACUCUAUUUUAAAGCAAGAUUAUUUAGUCCAACUUUGUUUCCUAGCCAAAUAGACUAAGGUUGACAUAAUUUUAGAACAUUAUUUUUAAUGAGUAAAUGAGAACAGUAAGACAAGAUGAAAAUAAUUCCUCAAAUUUAUAUUGAAUUGCCUAAUUUUCUAUGAGUCUCUUUAGAAUAAUUUGAAUAAAAAUAUUUUAAACCCAUUGCUUGAUAUAUAGUGUUUAACAUCUACUUUAUUGUCUAUUGGACAAAUAACCUACUCUCCUACCAGAUUUUCAAUACAGCACACAUGAUAGAUGUUGUAGGUUUGGUUUCAUAUCAGCAAUAAAGAAAGCAUUGCAAUAAAGUAAGCCCGCAUGAAUAUUUUAGUUCUCCAGUGUAUAUAAAAGUUAUGCUUAUAAUCCAGUGUAGUCUAAAACUGAGCAAUAGCAUCAGAUCUAAAACAGCAAUGCUCAUGCCAUAAUUUAAGUGCUUUAUUGUUAAAAACUAGUAUAGUAGUCUGACCUUUCUGUGACCAUCAUGGUGGUCAGGGUCUUGAUCAGUGUUACCCUUUAAGUAAGGUGGUUAUUAUGAUUCUGUUUUAUUUGAAAAAGAUCUUUUUUCAUCCCAUACAUCCUAACAAUUUCCCCUCCCUCCACUCCUCCAAGCUUCCUGUCACCUGAGUCUCCUGAAGAUCCACUGCCUCUCUGUUUGCCUUCAGAAGACCGUUCAAGAGAUAACAACCCAAAAUUAUAAAACAAGAUAUGAAAGCUCUUAUAUCUGGGCUGAACAAGGCAACACAAUAGAAGGAAAUGGGAAACAAGAGCAGGCAAAAGAGUCAGAAACACACCUUCGCCCACUGUUAGGAGUCUUACAAAAGCAGGAAGUGAUGUCCAGAACAUAUGUGCAGAGGACCUAAUGCAGAAUCAAGCAGGUCUUGUAGCUUCAAUUUCUGUGAGAUCAUGUGAGCCUUGCACAGUUUAUCCAGUGGGCCAUGUUCUCUUGAUGUCCUUUAUCCGCUCUGACUCCCACAGUUUUUUCUCACAUUCUUCUGUCAGAUUUCUGGAGCUCCAGGGAGAGAUAGGGUGAAGAACCUGAUGGAUAACUCCAGUUUAGACUCUCUGCAUAACAUCUGUCUGUGAGUCUUGGCACCCACUUCUAUCUGCUGCUGGUAGAAGUUACCUUUCUAGGAGUAUAGCAGACUACCAUUGUGAAGCAUAUCCUUGAUCUGUUUUGCAGUUGUGUUUGGAUUUACCCCAGGUCUCUGGGUUAUCCAGUCUCCCUAAGGUUCCAGAGCUUAGGCUCCCUCACCAAGUGUUGUGGCUGUGUUGGUGCCUGGAUUUCUCUUUUUAUACCCUGAUGAGUACCUUUUCAUGCAAAAAAAACUAGAAUGAAGGGUUGAAGGCUCCAUAUAGACACCAGCUAGACCCUUUUACACUCAAUAAGCUGUGUAGAUAUUGUCCUUAGCACUGGGACUCCACUGCCAAUUUUCAGAAAACAACAUUCUGUUCUAGCAUCUUCCUGGGUUGUUUGGGGAUCCUGAUGGCAUCUCCUCAACCAAUCAACUCAAUCACUGGAAGCCUUGCCUAGAUACAACAUAUGGUCAUAUCCAAUUCCAUAUCCCCCAUUAUUGAGUUCUCAUUUGAUUCACCCUCACCGAUUCCAGAAAGUUGAGCUACACUAAGUUUCCACACCGCCUAUCUUAAAGCAGCAAGAAAGUUUGUCACAGCAUCUUUCUAUUCUUCGAAGGUUCUGUAGUGUUUUGUUGUGAUGGUGAUAGUGUCAAUGUUGAUACUGCUUGUGGAUGCAUUGAAGACAGGCCCUCACUCUGUAGCUUGUGUUGGCCCCAAACUCAUAGUAAUCAUCUAGUGAACCCUUCCAUGUUAUGAUCAUAUAAUGAGCCAUCGCUUUUAUUUUUAUUGUUUAGUACUCUGCGCUAGCAUUUUGCACAAAUAAAACUUACAGAAAUUAAAACUAGUCUUCUCUAAACAUUUGUUGUGUCAACUGAGCUUGUAGAAUGCCAAAGCCUUUGAUAUCCCCUUCAUUGGAAACAGAUCCCAUCUCAACUGAGCUUUCUUUGCUCUUCUGUGAGAAUAGAUUCCUAGUUUAUAAUCAUCUGCCCACCUGCAGAGGCAAAAGUUUAGUCCCAGUUUCAAAAUCCAGUUGUAAAUUUUCUUCUCUUAUUGUUUGUACUAUCUACCUGCUCUUCUUCUAAUGAAGUUUUAAACUCCUAUUGGUUAGUCCUUCUGCAAACUCCUGUUAAUAUUGAUAUUUGUACCUCAUACUAAAAAUUAUAAAUGGUCUUAAUGACAGCAAGAACAUGUGUUAGGAUCACACCCAGGUUAACAGGGUCUGUGGCAAAAAUCAUUACUCAGAAAACUCUCUCAUCAGUCUCUUUUAAAGCUCUAUUAUUCAAAGAAUACUUGUUACUUGGUUCUGUAUUAAGAAUUUCACAAUAAUAUCUUCUCCUUCAUUCCUGUCAAUUUUUCAAAAGGGGUAACUCAUUUAAGACACUGAACAAUACCGUGUAGUGGUUGUGUACCUUUAAUCUAUGCACUUGAGAAGCAUAGGUGGGUGGAUGUCUGGGAGUAUCAGGCCAGCCUGGUGCACUAUAGGGCAACCAGGGCUAUGUAGCAAGACCCUGUCAAAACUAAACAGACACUGGUGAGAACUUCAUACUGUGCUCUAUUAGAAUCUGAGGAAUCGCAUGACUUAAACUAACAUGGAAACCUGCACAGGUGCAAUGAAGUUACACCUCAAGGAAGAAUGAAAUCUCCUUGCACUAUAAGUUUUGCAAGACUACUUCAGGAUGAUUAUGUCAAGGCUGUCGGAGCUCCUCGGUUUGUUAUGAGCAGAUGAAAAUCCAUCAUCAGCCAAUGACAGACCCUGCCUUUCCCUCACUCCAAUUUAAGGCCACAGAUGCGUGAACCUUCAACACAGUACCUUCUGCAGGUGUAACGCUGCCAGACACCGCCUGCCAUUCAUAUUCUCCCACAAGAAGGCUGUUAUAUCCUUCUGAGCCUCACCCCAGUGAGGAAGAAGGGCAUGUACAUGAAGAAAGAAGGAGGAGGAGGAGGAGGAGGAGGAGGAGGAGGAGGAGGAGGAGGAGGAGGAGGAGGAGGAGAAGGAAGAACAAGAAGAACAAGAACAAGAAGAACAAGAACAAGAACAGGAAGAAAAAGAACAAGAAGAACAAGAAGAACAAGAACAAGAAGAAGAGGAGGAGGUGGAGUAAGAAAGAAAGAAAGAAAGAGAGAGAGAAAGAAAGAAAGAAGGAAAGGAAGAAAGAAAGAGAGAGAGAGGAAGAGAGACAGACAGACAGACACAUUUGCUGGUGAAUUUAUUCUCUCUUUACACAUGCAUGCAGGGUUUUUCCACUUCUUAUAGUAGCAUAUACCUUUAUUUUUAUAAAUAUCUGAAAAAACAACAAUAAAAAGUCAAUUCAUCAUUUGUUCCAUAAGCAGAUGUCACCUGUCUAAAAACCAGAGAUAAAUUUUACUUGUGAAAAGGAGUGAGGAACAGAGUAAAGUAGCCCUUAGUCCUUGGCAGCAGAAAUCUAGGUGGCCUAAAACUGGCCAGUGAAGCUAAUGAGGUCCCUGUGCUCCUCCAGGUGCUACUGCUAUUUCUUCUUGGAGGGCUUCUUCAAAGAUACCCAGAGAGAAUUCAAUAUGAACCAUCUCCAAGUGACUAUGUAAAGCUACAUGGGACACAGGUAAAAACAAUUACCCUGUGGCCUAUUUUAGAGGAUACUCUGCUUGGGCUGAAUUCAGCAAAAUACUAAGAAUACUGGAAAGAUAAACAUCUAGUCAGGACACAAAAUGUUUUGUGUUUGUUCUAUUAUAGCCUUGAUAACAACUAGAUACUGGCUAUGGAUAUGCUGCUCUGGGCUUCUCAAGAAAAGCUUGGCAUCUAGACCUCAAAAUUGCUAUGGUGGUCUAAUCAGAGAAAAGUAUUUUUUUUUAAAUUGAGUGUUCUUAUAAAGAUACCGGAAUGUUUUACACACCUUGAAUUCUCUUUCCCAACUUAAUUUCCCUAGAUUGCAAAGCAAGAGAGAUCUAUAUAGAAUAGUCCUCGCACGUGGAUGUGAUGGUCUCAGCUCUGAGGAUGCUUGUGAAUUGAUAGGAAUUCUUAUAGUACUGCUCAUAUGAGGUUUAUAUUGUACUCAAAAUGAACCCCUGUAAGGGUGGAUAUCACAACAUUUGUGUGAAGCAUUGCAGCUUAAAUCUUCAUGAAAAAUUAAGCACAAAGCUCGAUUGUAAUUGGUUCACAUUAUUUUCUACCGCUUCCCACAGUACACAAAAUGUCCACGAUGCCCUCUGAAAUCUUUUGUAAUGCAGGAUCAUCCUCUUCAUCGUAAGCAGUCUUUCUUGUCAUUGUUCUUCUUCCCACUGAACCAUCUUUCUUUCCCCACUAAAUACUGGUUUUGAUGUCCUUUACAAUAAAAAUUAAAUCAGAAGGCAUAGGCAGUAAGUUCUUGAUAGAUUUGUACUCUCUGUGUCUUUUUAUAUCUCUAAGAUGAAAUGGGCCACGUGACAUUCAUUUCCUGAAUUAAAAGGAUCGCCUGUAAUUGAGAGGCCAAUUCAAUCUAAAUCCAGUAGAAUAAACUGAGUGUGUCUUAGAUAGUUCUUGAUGUCUUCCCCUCAAAAUCAGUUAAAUCAUUUCUGUACUUUUCAGUGCAGAGUUUGUAGUAAGGAGAAUUUUAAAGUUAUUCUCUUCACGUUAACGUGGUUCUGGGAAGCCCUGUGCAGUAGUUACCUUUGGAACUAAAGAGGUUGUACCCAUGACUCAUAUCUGCUCCUGUGUUUGGAAUAGUAGCGUGUGUAUGGCAUGAGGGCUUUCAUGUGGUUAUCUACAAGCAAGUGUUGAAAUCCACUGCUUUGGUUUGCUUGGACAAUUGACAUGGAAACACUUAGGCACAAACUGGACAAGGAUUAUACAGAGAACCAUGUGAUGAAUUGAGACUGGGGCAUUUCUCUGACUUAUGAGCAUGAUAAGUAUGCUGAUUAUUGUGGCUCACUUUCCGUUUGUAGAAUGAUUUAUAGUGUAUUAAUAUAGUGACCUAACCUCAGCCAUUGUGAGUUUGUUAGAACAUAGUUGGUACCAAGAGCCACUUUAUGAUAUAUUCAGCCUCCAAUUCCCACAUCCCAAUGCACUUGAUAGGCUCGAGUCCUUUAGAUUUUCGUUUCUGAAUUUUACUCUCUUUAGUGGGUUCAUGUCUGAAAGACAGGAAAAGCUGAAACCCGAAACCCUGCCCUGUGCACUGUGUUCUCUCCUUUCUUUAGCUAGGAGAGGAAGCUGGAAACUUCGGUAACACCAUGUUUCAAUUAUUUUUAUUUCUGACCACAUGGGUAGAGACUAGUUACCACCGUUAGACAGGAUGUCAUUGUAUCUCCGUGGUAGGCGCCUGGUGAUCUUCAAAGAGAAAGACUUCCAUUCUUUGACUAUUCAGCAAACCUUAGCCCCACACAUGCAGGGAACGCCACAGAGGGAUUCGUACCAGCUGACAACUUUUGAAUGAAACUUCUUCACCUUGAAGAACAAAAACCACCACCCUCUGUGAAUUCGCACAGCUCUUCCUUCUCAUGUGAUGAAAGCUGUUGAUCCACUGGUCUGUGCUUUAAAAUGCCUAUGGUCAAAAGUAGUUUAGAAUUCAGAAUGUAGAUUUUAUGUAUUACAUAAUAUCCCAAAGAGAUCUUGCCAGACCACAGUGAAAUAUAUUAAUCAUUCCACAGAAGGAUACAUAUUCAUAUUAAGGGGUACAGCCAGAGUUUUAAAAACAUAGUGAUAUCAUUUGCAGUAGUCUAUACAAUUAGUUCAAGCUACAUCAGCUUUUGCCCUUACCUGUACUCUAUAUGUUUCUGUAUUAAAAUUCUUAAAUUUUAAGAAAGACAUUGUAGUCUGUAUAUUGUAUGCUUUUAAUAAAUAUAUAGAGAUAUUGAAAUUACGGAUUAAAUGGACAAGUGAAUGAAUGCCUUUUUUUUUUCCUUUAGAGGGUAGAAAACCAGGAAGAUGUAAUAUAUUUUCACUGCCAAGGUGGGAACAUUUAACCUGUUCCUGGUAAGAAUUUCCCAAUUGGCUAUCUAAUAAGAAGUAAUCUGCCUUAGAUGCAUAUACACACAAGCCAUAUUAAACAGACUUAGCAGGUUCUAAUUGUAUAAUUAUGUAUUAUAUAUGCAAAAGUAAAAGUAUUGACUAUCAAGUUGAGAGGUCAUGAUGGGGUAAAGAAGGGUUUUAAGGAAAACAGGGAAGAGAGGAUGUGAUAUAAUUAUAUAACCAUUAAUAUGCCUAAUAAAAAAACAGGAUAUCUGUAUGUAUAAGCUGACUCUUAACAGGCAGCUAUGCCAAAUGUUGCAACACAAUUUCCUAUCCCAUUGCUUUGUACAGCAACUGAACCUAGGGUAUUUUCUUAUCUCCAAGUUUUAUAUCAGAGUAUCUAUAUUCUCAGUUAGAUGCACACUUUCUCUUACAGAUUUGAUAACCCUUAAAUGCUUAUUACUUUUGCAGCAAGAAAAACUAGAUUUGUUGAAAAGCAAGUAUACAUAAGUGCAAGCUAAUCUUCCGUAGGAGCAACUCGAAUUUAAAGACAAUUUUCGGUAUUUAUUUUUUAGAAAUAUCUUUGAUUUACAAAGACUGUAUGUUGCAAUUUCUUAGCAAAUAAAAUGAGGAACAUCUUGUAUGCUUAAGUAUUUGUUAUACUCUAGAUAUUUAUUUUAUUGUAUAUUUCGCAUAAUUUUUGAGUAAGACUGAAAUAAGAAGAGAGUAGCAAGGCCAAAGACCUAAUGAUGCUCUGCUAUACUUGUAGACCAGGGUCCUAACAUGAUGAGCAUCAUAGAGGCUUCAUCCAGAGACCCACUGCCAAACAUUAUGUGAAACUUGGAGAAUCCUGUGGAAGUGGGGGAGGAAGGAUUGUAGUAGUCAGAAGGAUUAAGGACACCACAAGAAAACCCAUAGAAUCAACUAACCAGAGCUCACAGAGAUUGAACUGAAAAUUAGGGAGUCUGUAUGGGUCUGACUUGGAUUCUCUGCAUAUGUUAUAGUUGUGUAGCUUGGUGUUCCUGUGGGAACAGUGGGAUCUGGGGCUGUCUCUGAGUCUUUUGCCUGAUUUGGGGACACUUUUCCUCCUACUUGUUUGCCUUGUUCAGCCUUAAUAGGAGGGGAUAUGCCUGAUCUUAUAUGAUACGUUUGGCUGAUAUCCCUCGGGGGGUGUCUUUUUCUAAAUGGAAGAGAGUGGGUCUCGGGGAGAGCAGAGGUUGGUAGAAGGGACGAAGAGGAGAAGGACUGGAAACUGUAGUAGAAAUAUAAUAUAUGAAAAAAGAUUACAUUAAAAAUUAAAACCUGAAAAAUAUUAGAAAAGUAACUGUUUUCACUUAUAAACAUCUUAAAAUGUGUCUUUGCCAUUUAGCGGGGGUUUGCACUAAAGCAUUGUCUCUCUUUUAUAAUACAUAAAGUCAUAGGCAUUCAGUGUAUGUAAGUUCUAUGGAAGAGAAGUGAACACUCUCCAAUGUUCACAUUGCCAAGCCACAUGAAAGGCAUCUUCUUUCUCACUAGCCAGCAUGGUUCAGCAUUCCCUGGUCUGCCAAGAUUAACAGAGGUGCAAAAGGCAUGUACUUAAUACUGGAACUAUUUAUUAAGGAGGAGGGUGGAGAAAGACAAGUUCUGGGAAGAUAGUCAAGAAGAGGAAGGAAUGAAAUAUGUGGGGUUUUUUCCCUACAGGGAAGAAAACAAAGAUUAGUUAAACCCAUUAAGAAUUCUACCAUAAUAAUUGUAGAUUUUAUUGAUAUGGCUACUAAUGGGACACACGAAUAAAAUAUUCAUGAGGACUGUAGGGAUCAGUAGUAUGGGUACUUAAAUUUUUUCCAAAUAGAAAAAUAAUCACUUUGGCUGCUACAUUUCACUAAAUGACUUAAUCAAAGCUUGAAAAUGAAUCCAUUGGCUAAACUUCUUGUUUUCAGAAAACACACCCAUUUAUUACUACACAGAUUAAUCUCCAUAUAUGGAAUAUGAAAGAGAGAUUAACUAUGUAAUUUACCUUGACAACUAGCAAAAUGAAAUUUUGUUCAGAAGAAGGAAACUUCCUUAAGAACAUGAAAGCAUCUAGACCUUAGAUCUUAUAUAUGACCCUUGUAGGAUUUGUAGGUAAAGGCUGAUUAAUAAUAACUAUGAUCACAUUAGCUGUAGUAGGUCAAGGGCCACUAUAUCAUAACUACCUAGUUUCUGGUGCAUUACUAUGGAUAUCAGAGCUAAUCAUGCUCAAAAGGGAAUGGUCCAAAAUAAAAAGCAGACCUCCACCAAACAAGAGCAUAGCAUGUUUUUAUUUUCUGUGAUUAAAUAAUUAAAUAUGACUUCUAAGCUUUGAGGGCUCUCAAAAUUCUCAUACCUUUAGAUGUGGAUUGUAGACGUCUUUGGUGGUAAGUUGACCGAUUGUUAGUCACUGAGAACUAGGAGAGCUUGAGUUGUUACAAAUGAAUUCAGAAGAGCUGAAAAAGGAUACAGUGGUAAAGUGCUUGGCUGAUGUACACAGGGUCAUGGAAUUCACCUCCAGCUCUCAAAAGACAAAUUCAUGCUUAGAAGAAAGCAUGAAUGUCUAGGCAAGAAAGGAAAGUCCAGACACAUAUUGAUCACUGACUGGGUUCUUUUGGGUCCUACUAUUUUAAAGGAGAAAAAACAGCAACUUAUAGACAGAGUUAGCUUCCCAUUCUAUUAAAGAACAAUUGGUACUUUGUCUACUUCCCACCUUAUUCCAGACACUAUGAUAGGUCCCAGUGCUAACUUCUUGAAUAUGUCAAGCAAUCAGAUCAUCAAGGAGAUGAAAAUAGCGUUCAUAGUCAGGAAAAAACCCGCAUAGGUAGCUCCUUGCUGCAAAUACAGGCCAGGAAAACUAGAAUAGGAUGAUUUUCUCCUCAGUCACAGCAGGGAUAUUAUCUAAGAGGGAAGUCAAAAUGAUGCAAAUGUGAUUGGCUGCUGAAUGAAAAAGACUUACAAAGAGGCUUCACAGGAGCUGGGGACCUGGGUCUUAAUGAACUCCUGGCAGAGGCUGUGUGGCAGAUGAGAAAAAAAAAAAAAAACAGCAAUCCUGCUGCUCAGGUAUUUACCUGGGCCUUAAGGCCCACAAACACAAAGAAGUGUGUCAUUUUCUACAGAUUCUUCUAGUUCUUCACUACAGACUGGAAACACCUCCCCUGGAAGGCAGAUUCUUGUGGGAAGUCUCUAUCAGUGCUUCCAUGGCUUCUGAGGACUUGAUAUCCCUUUCUUGUUUUUUUUAACAGAAGAGCAGGUACUGAGCACAGGUCUUGAGAGCAGGUGCGCUGAAAACCAGUCAUUUAGAAGAAAGGAAACAUUGAGACAGGAGGUAGUCAUUUUACCCAAAAGUGGUAUGGCGUGCUGUCUGCCUUUCUCUGUCAAGCUGAAGGGAGCCACUGAAUAUGAGUAACAUUCUUUUAGUGGAGUCCAGGGGUGUCACCUAAGAUUUUGCAGUGCACAGGACAGCCCCUCCCAGCUCAGACUUACAACUAGGCUUCCAGGAUGGUACAAGGUGGAAAGACUUGUGAAUAGUUGUAUUUUAUAAGUGAGUCUCAGAGUCUCCCUGAAGUCGAGUCGUGCGCUGUGUAAAACAUAGCAUAAAUGCUUGGCCACUUGGCUCUACUUCUAGCAGAAGCCCUGGUAAUUAGGACUCCCAGGUUGGCUGACAAUAGUUCAAAGGAUUCUGGUUUCUAAUUCAGAGUUUUCAGCAUUUUUUAAGAGCAGAAAAUUUAUUUUAUUUUAAUUAAACAUCUCCAUAUAUUGAGCCUUGUGUCUUAUUUUAAAGAGCACUCAGAGUGAAGUCAAAGGGAUGCUUGUAAACAUCCAACGGAGGUAAAUUGGAACAGGAUCUAAGUUAUUUACAGGAAGGAGGGAAAGUACAUUCAUAUGCUACAGAUUGAACUUUUCUCAAACUUAACAAAAAUUAAUGGAGAGAAAUAAAUCCCACUAUCUUCACAUGAUAAGAGUAUGGAAUGUUGACUCGAAGUCAAUUCUGUAUUUUUUUUUUCCUCUGAAAACUCAGAAGCAUCCUAUCACUCCCUCCUUAUCUCUUUCCAUUUGGCACUCUGUGCAGAAAAGAUAAAUUUACCACCAUUUCCCAUCAUCGGAGCUUGCAUGGCUGGUCUUCCUUGGGCUCUGUGUAGCCCAAACUGCAUGAGUCAGCACUUCUUAAAAUGUUGUGUUUUAACAAAAUUGUACUAUUAGAAGUUUCAGAAGAUUUUAGCUCAUGACAUUAAUUCUCUGAUUUGGGUUGAUAUUGCACUUUCUGUUACAUUAAAAUCAUUACAUCUGAAACCAUUCCUUCUUCAAGGCAGAAGCAAUAUGUAUAGAACAUAUGUACAUAUAUUUUCCUAUUUCCUGGCCUUUCAUACUCCAAGCCCCUCUGAAAUAACUAUAGUUGAAUUAAGGACACUGAGUGACUCUUCUUUCACAUCCAGAGGUAGUUCCUGAAUGUUCUCAAGGCUUCUUGCUUUGAAGAAUAUAAAUGAACUACAUUUUAUAGUCUUAGUUCAGCUUUCAUAUUGAUCAUUCACUUAACAUUUCGAAGAUAACUAAUAAUAUAUACCUUUUUGAUAAGUUAUUAUACAUUUGUACUGCUAUUGUACAUUUCAACCCAAACAGCCAAAGCAUAAUAAAUCUAGAAAAGAUAAAGAGAUGAUUAUCUAUUUAAAAUGCAGAUAUCAAUUUUAAAAUAUGUCUUUAUGUACUAUCUACAAAAGUAUUAAAAGUCUUCUCUUAAAUGAACGUCAUUAUGUAUUAAAACUGUGAAAUUUGCAACUGCAUGUAAAAUUGCUAUCUUGUUAGAAUUUGCCAGAAGCUAUAACAAAGGUAUAGAUAAAUCCUUUAUAAAACACAUUAUGAUUAUUUUGACUACAAAUUCUACAACACAUUUGAUAUGUAUGGAACAUAUAUUUAGCUGUUAAUAGAGUUGAAAGUACUCGACUAUCUCAGGUACAAUUCUUUACAUUAAGAAAAUUGUUUUUUUCCUAUUUUAUUUGAAAUAUGUCCCUUUCUUUCCACCUCUAAGUUAUUGUUAUCCUGACUAAUAUUCUUUUUAGUAUGUCUAGACCUAGAUACCUAAUAGACCAUUGCAACUACUUGAGGUUUACAUGUAGUAGCAUUCAAAUAUUUAUUUUACAUAAAAUAACCUAAAGAAACAUUCAUUGUUGGGAUUUCAGUGCCAAAUCUGAUAUUUGUUUUUGUAAAAACCUUGAAAGUAGAACAAAAUGUUCAGCAAAUAUUUAGAGCACAAUUAAAUAAUUUGUGAAAUGUGUUUUCUUAAUUGAAAAGUAAAUUCUGAGAUUCUAUAUUCUACUAAUCAUUCCUUGUUUAUAUAAUUUAAAAUAUUAAGCAGUGAACAGUGUAUUAUUAUUUUAGGGUUUCAAAAUAUACAAAUGUCACCUUGAAAAUAUCAUGCUUAGUCACUUGCUAGCCCUUUAUUUUAUCAUAGCAUCCAGUGGAUCACUCAGUUCCUUGGCUUUAAGUUAGGACCUUUUCAAGGCAAACACUAGAUCUGCUUCAGAGGUAUUGUUUCAUCACACAGAAGUCAUGAUUACACUUCUAUGUCUUCAGGUGUGAGAAGCAUGGGGA